CUCGGUUAUUGGAGCGACUUGGCACCACCUCUUCCCAUUCCGAACAGAGUCGUGAAACGGGUCAGCGCGGACGAUACUCUAUUUAUUUAGGGGACAAUACGUCAUAGCCGGGG
rnacentral:rRNA from 1 species